ACGAACGCUGGCGGCAGGCUUAACACAUGCAAGUCGAGCGAAGACUUCGGUCUUAGCGGCGGACGGGUGAGUAACGCGUGGGAACGUACCCUUUACUGCGGAAUAGCCACUGGAAACGGUGAGUAAUACCGCAUACGCCCUUUGGGGGAAAGAUUUAUCGGUAAAGGAUCGGCCCGCGUUAGAUUAGGUAGUUGGUGGGGUAAUGGCCUACCAAGCCUACGAUCUAUAGCUGGUUUGAGAGGAUGAUCAGCCACACUGGGACUGAGACACGGCCCAGACUCCUACGGGAGGCAGCAGUGGGGAAUCUUGGACAAUGGGGGCAACCCUGAUCCAGCCAUGCCGCGUGAGUGAAGAAGGCCUUAGGGUCGUAAAGCUCUUUCGCCUGUGAUGAUAAUGACAGUAGCAGGUAAAGAAACCCCGGCUAACUCCGUGCCAGCAGCCGCGGUAAUACGGAGGGGGUUAGCGUUGUUCGGAAUUACUGGGCGUAAAGCGCGCGUAGGCGGACUGGAAAGUUGGGGGUGAAAUCCCAGGGCUCAACCCUGGAACUGCCUCCAAAACUAUCAGUCUAGAGUUCGAGAGAGGUGAGUGGAAUUCCGAGUGUAGAGGUGAAAUUCGUAGAUAUUCGGAGGAACACCAGUGGCGAAGGCGGCUCACUGGCUCGAUACUGA
rnacentral:rRNA from 1 species